UACGUAGAGUGCAAGCGUUGUCCGGAAUUAUUGGGCGUAAAGGGUACGCAGGCGGAUAGUAAAGUCAAGCGUGAAAGGUGUCGGCUUAACCGACAGACUGCGUUUGAAACUGAUUAUCUUGAGUGUAACAGAGGAGAGUGGAAUUCCUAGUGUAGUGGUGAAAUACGUAGAUAUUAGGAAGAACACCAGUGGCGAAGGCGACUCUCUGGGUUAACACUGACGCUGAGGUACGAAAGCUGGGGGAGGCAAACGGGAAGUUAGAUACCCCCGUACC
rnacentral:rRNA from 1 species